rnacentral:rRNA from 1 species
UUUUCCGCAAUGGGCGCAAGCCUGACGGAGCAACGCCGCGUGCGGGAUGACGCCCUUCGGGGUGUAAACCGCUUUUCGGGGGGACGAAGACAGUGACGGUACCCCCGGAAGAAGGCCCGGCUAACUACGUGCCAGCAGCCGCGGUAAGACGUAGGGUGCAAGCGUUGUCCGGAAUUAUUGGGCGUAAAGCGCACGUAGGCGGUUCUUUAAGUCUCUUGGUGAAAGGCUGGGGCUCAACCCCAUGCAUGCCGGGGAUACUGGGGAACUGGAGACAGGUAGAGGCCAGCGGAAUUCCGGGUGUAGCGGUGGAAUGCGUAGAGAUCCGGAAGAACACCGGAGGCGAAGGCGGCUGGCUGGACCUGAUCUGACGCUGAGGUGCGAAAGCGUGGGGAGCGAA